rnacentral:rRNA from 1 species
GUGGCCUCAAAUCAGGUAGGACUACCCGCUGAACUUAAGCAUAUCAAUAAGCGGAGGAAAAGAAACUAACAAGGAUUCCCCUAGUAACUGCGAGUGAAGCGGGAAAAGCUCAAAUUUAAAA